GACGAACGCUGGCGGCGUGCUUAACACAUGCAAGUCGAACGGAAAGGCCCUGCUUUUGUGGGGUGCUCGAGUGGCGAACGGGUGAGUAACACGUGAGUAACCUGCCCUUGACUUUGGGAUAACUUCAGGAAACUGGGGCUAAUACCGGAUAGGAGCUCCUGCUGCAUGGUGGGGGUUGGAAAGUUUCGGCGGUUGGGGAUGGACUCGCGGCUUAUCAGCUUGUUGGUGGGGUAGUGGCUUACCAAGGCUUUGACGGGUAGCCGGCCUGAGAGGGUGACCGGCCCCAUUGGGACUGAGAUACGGCCCAGACUCCUACGGGAGGCAGCAGUGGGGAAUAUUGCACAAUGGGCGGAAGCCUGAUGCAGCAACGCCGCGUGCGGGAUGACGGCCUUCGGGUUGUAAACCGCUUUCGCCUGUGACGAUGCGUGAGUGACGGUAAUGGGUAAAGAAGCACCGGCUAACUACGUG
rnacentral:rRNA from 1 species